GACGAACGCUGGCGGCGUGCCUAAUACAUGCAAGUCGAGCGAAGUUUUUCUGGUUCUUGCACUAGAAAAACUUAGCCGCGUACGUGUGAGUAACACGUAAAGAACCUGCCUCCUAGACUGGGACGACUAUUGGAAACGAUAGCUAAUACCGGAUAACAUUAUUUCUCGCAUGAGAGAUGUUUAUAAGUUGGUUAUGCUAACACCAUGAGAUGGCUUUGCUGUGCAUUAGCUAGUUUGUGGGGUAAAGGCCCACCAAGGCGACGAUGCAUAGCCGACCUGAGCGGCGGGUAGGCCACACUGGAACUGAGACGCGGACCAGACGACUGCGGGACGGAGCAGUAGCGAAUCUUACGCAAUAGGCGAAAGCAUGACGGAACAACGGCAAGUGAGUGAAGAAGAAGUUCGGUUCGUAAAGAUCUGUUGUUAGGGAAGAAUGGAUAUGUAGUAACUAUACGUGUAAGAGACGGUACCUAAACAGAAAGCAACGGCUAACUACGUG
rnacentral:rRNA from 1 species